rnacentral:lncRNA from 1 species
UGUACGCAUGCGGGUGAGAUAUAAACGCUGUAGUGGGGCACGUGGCAAGUUCUGAACGGUAAAAAAAAUGGUAGUGGAGAGGUAAUAAUGAGUGGCGUGUGAAUCUGAACAAAUAUGCACCAUUUACCAAUAAAACACAAAUAAUUACCGUGUUUUUCUCCACUCAGGAAUUCAAAUGGUUUUUCUACCGUUUGAUAAUAAAAACUAAUAUUAUCUGACCAAAAUGUUUAUUUUAACUCGGACUUCGAUCAGAGGCUGACCAUUGACCAGAGUUUAA